AGUUCCUGCUAGUCUCUCCUACCCGCCCCUCCGGGCGGUCGGGUUGGUAGGUGCCUCGUGACGCAGGAGAAGUAGGCGACAACUUGGGCAACCGCGCCUCGGGCUGACUCUGAGCCUGUGGCCGGUGCUUCGCGCCUCCCGGCCGGGCGACUCGCAGGCUGCGCCAUGUCGUUGGCUGUGGGCGACAGCGGGCGGCUGGGCAGGUUCAGCAGGCGGGGGGCGACCCCCGGGACGCCCUGGUUGGGGGGCGGAGUGGUGGCUCGGAGUCUGCAGGCCGAGCUGCUGUGGGAGGAGGAGGAGGCAGCGAGCGGUGUCUCUGUGUCCCAGGGCGGGGCCCCGUUGCCGCCGCUGUCUCACAAGCGGAAUGGCGUGUUGAUGGCUCCGCCGGGAGGGAAACGUUGGCCGGCCCGGGCCUGCUCGGUGCUGUGCUGCCUCCUGGCCGUCUCCGCCCUCGCCUUCCUCCUGGCCAUCGGUUGCCUCGUGCUCAAAGAUUUGCGCACUGAGAAAGAGAAGAAUGAAGAUGGUAUAGAAACUGGCUUGUUAGGAUUUUGGGGUCUGUUUGUUCUAGCCUUGAUGACAGGGCUCUCCUGCUGCAGCUUUUCUUGGACGGUGACUUAUUUUGAUUCCUUUGAACCAGGAAUGUUUCCUCCGACUCCACUUUCACCUGCACGAUUCAACUAGGCUCAGGGGACUGAUUAGAGGACAGGGCUAGCACCUAACCCCCAGUCUUGUGGUUCUGUUGUGGUGUAAGUAGCUUCUUUAGUUACUCCUCCGAACUCUUCUUCAGGAAUCAUAAGUUUGUUGCAAUAAUUGGGCCUACAGAUUUACCCAAACCGUGAGCUCAACUGUGUAAAAACAAAAAAGUGUAAAGUUUUAUAAACUUGUAAUAACCUAUAACCAAUGUUGAUGGGAUAACGUGCAAAAGAGAUUAAAUUAGUCCAAACAAAAAGGCCUACUGAUAUAAUUCAAGGAUUGUUAAGAUUAUGCCUAAUAAACAAGACCAUGAUGAGACCAGAAAUCAGUGAACUGAAAUCGGUAUGUGAGAAACUAGGCCUAAUUGGUGGACAAACCAGUGAGAGGACACCCAGUUCCGCCAUCCAUCCCUCCCUUUUGGGAUCUGUGAUGGGGUGGACUAGGCCCUGAGAUCCCCUGCUGGAGGCCUCGUGGCCCUGCCACACCAUGCCCCAGAAAAGGCCAGUUUCCUCCAAGUGGCCUAGAGUCGUGGCAUGGGAUGCGGCCAGUCAGAGAUGGGCUGCAGGGAGUAGCCCAACAGGCCCAUAUAAAAGGAGCUGCAGUGCAGAGCAGAGGUCAGUUGCUUGCUAAAGCUGGAGGGGUGUGGAUGGUGUCCCUGGUUGGCUGAGGGAGCUACAGGACCUCAGACAGAGCAGUCCUGGCAGAGUCUGGGGGUGGGAGGACGGGAUAGGAAGGAGUUCCAGGCUGGCUGCUGGGACUCAGCCAGGCCCAGACCCUGAGGUAAGGGUGAAGAAUGAGCUAGGUAAGUGGCCCAGGGAACUGUGGCAGCAGUGCGGCUUAGUUGAAGGGACACGACAGACGGCUUCUAUCUAUAGGGCCUAGGCUGGGACCUGGAGUAGAGGACGGGCCUGAGUUCACCCCACCAGCCACUGGGUGAAAGUGACCUGGACUUUGAUACAGCCCAGAAGUGGAACUGAACUCUUUUAGCGGCCCAGCUGAAGAGCUGGGGCUAGAAAGGCCCAAAGAAAUGAAGAAUCUCCAGGGAGGGAGCCUUGGGGGACAUGUCCCCAUACCAGGGCCAGGACUGUUCGAAGAGCAGGGACAAUUUGAGAGAGCCCAGAAGGGGAUAACAGACAGUUUGGACCAUGGUACUGCGAUAGGCCCUGCUGCACUGACUGAGGAGUGAGCCCAGGAAUAGGGCUGCAGGUAGAGGCAUUACUGAGGGCUUUGAGAUAGGCCUGGUUGGACUUGUAUCACGGAAAGGGUUUGAUUUUUAGCUCACAUACAGACUGUGUGUGACUCGGCAGGAGGGCUGGGUUGCUGAAGACUCACCACAAAGCAGAGAGAAAGUGCAGGCACAUCCAGUCGAACAAGGGGGUGCUUACAGGAGGUUUGUGGCACCCCAUUACCAGGUCCUUAAAGAGAGAUUUUUUUUGGAGAAAAGCUUUACCGGGAUGGCCAUCACCCCCACCGUCUUCUGGGACCCCAGGCCUUUGUCAUCCUGAUCCUAAGAGAUGUCCUGACAAGACUGGGCCAGAGAGAGUCCCCCAGAUGACAUCACCACCUCUGCUGGCUCGAGCUGAAUCCCAGCCACCACCUGGGAUGAGACUGACCGGGCAUUCCUUCCACAUGGGCUAUAGUAUGGCAAUACUGAACGGCAUUGUGGCAGCUCUCACCGUAGUAUGGUGCCUCAUUUGAAUCCUACGCUGGGUCGGUGGUGAUCUUCAACAGUUCAAGAUGCACA